rnacentral:sRNA from 1 species
GGAAUGCUGAAGCGGAAAGAUAAAGAAAUGGAUGAACACACAUUUUCAUACACGAGCUGCCACCCUGGCUUCUAUUUGGAGCGCAGUGGUGAUAUCUGAAGCAGCCAGUGAAAAUAAACCCCUUGGACUUGGACCCGCAGCUACCAUGGCAUAUUUUUAAAUGGUUACAGAAAGAGUCUGAGCAUCCAGUAGGGCAGUGUCCAAGAUUCUUGGGCUGCUCCCUGGAUGGCACUUGAGGUCCACUAGACAGGUAGACAAGACCUGUCUCACCAAGCUAGGUCAAGAAAAGACAAGGGCAGACAGAAGAGCCCCUUCGGGGAUUACCAUGCUCUUAAAGAGAAGAAUUAACUUCACUACAAACAUUUGAGGGCAGACUUUCAGAAAAAAAAAAAAGACUUGUUUUUAAACCGAAGAACUGAGGAAACUUUCCAAACAGAAAUAGGAGAGCACAGCAUCAUCAUAAAGUCCAAGGGACUUACCCCGAAUUGCACAGUAGAGUUCACGACCAUGCCUGGUGUGAUUUCACCCUACCCUUAACUCCCACUUACCACUAGAAUGUUUGGUGUAAAUCCCAGGGAGGAUGAAAUGGAUGGUAUAAAGGCAAACUUUUAUGAGAUUUAUGACUUAGUCCAAAAUUAGAGAAAUUAGAAACUGCAUGGAAAAGCCCAACAGGGCUCGGUCACUUAAGUAAACACUUUACAAAAUUACACACACCGCCUGGAGGUCUCCGUGCUAACCAAAAAAAUCAGCUUCUUUCUGGGUUUGCAAAAUUGUUCUUGAUGGUGCUGUCUGAUGGCUAGGCAGUGAGUUAUCUGCAGGAGAGCUGUCAUUUUACAGGAAGAAGGAGCUGAUGAGGAACAAGAGUGGGGUAGGGACAGAGUAGCAGAGAAGCACACUGACCCCAGGAAAGUGUGUAAAAUGUCGUGUGAGAUAACAGGGGGUACCUGGAGCACAGGGAUCAGAGGGCCGGUGUGUGGUCUGCAGCCACGGCUGUUCUUUUCUCUUCAUCCUUCAUACCAGAUUGUUAAUCUCCUCAGAAGGCUGCCCUUUCCCUCCUCAUACACCCAACCCAACCUGGAAUCACACAGAGCAAGAAAGUUGGGGAGCGACCCGCAAACAUAUUUACUUCUGAGGCAUUUCACCUAUCUCUUUGCAAAGUGUAGAUGUUUAAAACUCAUUUCCAGCCAGUUGAGACUUCGAUGAUGAUGUGUGCUCAAGACGUGUGGGGGUUAAUUAGGCAAGUAUGAAUCACAAUGUUACCCCUUUGUAUCUUCUAACUUCCUCCAGUGCCUUGAAGUAUGUUUUGACAGAGGCAAGCUAAAUUACAUAUGCUUCAGAUCAUACACAUUCAACCAGUGCUAUAUGCAAAGUAAGUAUUUAUUGGAUUCAAAAAUAACUGAACAGGAUUCUUAAACCAAAUACAUAAAUGGUUAUGUGGUUAGAGUGCUACAAUUAAAGCAAGUAAACUGAUGUCUCAAAUGGUACCCAUGCAGACCUGGGUUCUUGUCCCCAGCACCUAAGCAAAAAACUAGGCUGAGCUUAAACUGUGGGUGGAUCCUUGAAGCUUUUGGGCCAGACAGUCUAGCUGAAUCAAUGGGCUUCAGGUUCAAUGAGGGACUCAAAGAAAGAUGAAAAACAUGAGGGAAAUACACUUGUGGUCAACCUCAGUCUGCAUGUGCAAGUAAAUAAGAACAGUAAGAAAUAUGUAUAUCACACACACGUGAGCAUGCAUAAACACACACACACAAAUACAUACAUAUACACUCACACACACACCAAAAACAAAUAUGAGUAUUAAAAAUGCUUUCAGUAGAAUGUUAUCAAGUCUCUACCAAUGUGAAAUGGAGAAUAACCCUUGAAAGGCUUCCUAAAGCUGAGACAGCACUUCAAUUGGUACAGUUUAGGUGGAGAGUGAGAGUUUCUUCAGGGGAACACUGUUGCACCAUCAGGAAAAUGCACACACACACACACACACACACACACACACACACACACGCACACACCACAUAUUGAUGGAAGGAGAAGAUUAUGAAUUAAAAGGCAAGUUGAUUGCAUAAUCAAGGCAAAUAAGUGUAUAAGGGGGUGUGUUUAAAUGCACGAAGUCUAGUACAAGAUAAUCAGGAUUCUACUUCUAGCCCUGAGCUGAGUGACCUUGGACAAGUCCUGAGACAUUAAACCUCAGGGUCUAUGUAAAAAUCAGAACACAAACAGGGACCAUUCGGUUAGUCCAUAUGUUAGCAGUGGUUUAUAAUGAGGUCUGUUUGGACUAUAUAGGAAAGGUGAGGAGAUUGCACACCAUAAUGCUCUGUGUCGGUGGGGGUGGGGCUUGGGUGGAGUCAUAUCAUCUGCCUUUCCCGAGAUGACUCCAGGCAGGUCUGAAGCCCACAACCUCUCAUGAUAAGCAAAAGAUUCAUCUGGGAGACUCCCUUUUCUGGUGUUGGCAGCACUAUAGAGCUGGGCCUAGAUACAAAUCGUGUUUGUUAUCCCAAGGACACUCCUGGAGAAACAGUUUUUAGUGCGGAUUCUCCUGGAGGACCUCCUGCAGGCAAACGGCUGGGAUGGUUACCCCUGUUUUAUGGAGUGACAGCAGAACCUCCCUUCCUAUUUCCAGUGUGUGUGCUUCAUGAGGCAGUGAGCCCUGUCUUCCAUACCUCGGUUGCAAAACCAAAGGGCACUUGCCAUUUGAAAAGGCCUUCAGAGAAAGCGUCCGUGUGGUCUGUGCCCUCUGAUGCCAACUGCCAGCACAUUGGUGGACUGGCACCUUUCGGUUCCCUUCCCUUUCCAGGAUAGCAGCACUUCCUACUGGAAGGGGUGGAGUGAGAACUGAUACCAACUUAACGUCUCCCUUCCUGAGAGGCCUGGCAGGAUCUCUCCCGCCUUUGUGAUUAGAAAGGAAGCAUUCACAAAGAUGGUUAUGCGAUCACGGAAUGAACCUUGGCUCCAGAGGUGAGUGUUAAAGAGCUCUCCCAAAGUGCAAGUCAUGAAAGAAUGCUGGCUACUUCUCACAGGAUGAUUAUACCCAGAUGCCGUUAAGAUUUGGAAGAAUUAUUUCUGAGCGAUCAGUAGAUAAUUAUCAUACACACUUUAACUGUUAACGAUGCAUUGACUUCUUCUAUUUUCACUUACUCGAUUUAGAUAGCUUACAGUCUCUAAUUUUGUCAAAAUUCUCUGUAGGGGACAUCCAGUUUUGAAACUCCCAGUAUACUUGCUAAAAAUUGGAGAUUUAUCUUGUGGCUUUAUGGUAUUAAGAUUUCCAACACUCAAAACCUAAUAUGAUGAGGUUUUGAACAUAGAGUCAGCUGGGACCCUCAAUUUAAGACUUGCCUCUAUAAAAUUGACUUCUGAGCAUGCGCACAGGAACAUUGUCUUGACUAUUAGUUGGCUCGGGAGGGCCCAGCACACUGGGGACAGCACCAUCCCUAGCAGGUGGCCCUGGGCUAUGUAAGAAAACUAGCUGAGCAUAAGCCAGAGAGCUGGCCAGUGAGCAGCAACACACUUCUGGGAUUUCUGCUUCAGUUUCUGUCCUGACUUCCCUCGGAGACAUUGUGACCCAGCUGUGGGAGCUGAGAGAAACUCUUUCCUCCCCCGAUUUAACUUUAUUCACACUGUCAUAGCAACAGAAAAGGCCACAAGGACACGCAGGAAUCUGAAUUUCAAAUUCCUCCCAUUUGGAUGAUUUCAACCAUAUUAUAUUUCUAAAACAGAAUGGAUUUCCAUGUUCCUGUUAUUCAUCUUUAAUAAUUCAGUCUAUGAGCAAUCUAAUUUGAUCCCUAUACCCAUUUCUGAGUUGGUUUUUUUUUAAUGGCUCAAAUCUCUAUGGUUCAAACUGUCCAGGUUCCCUCACAAUUCCUGUUUCAUUAUCAUUUUUUGACUGACACAUAACAGUCUCAUAGAUUUGUGGGGGACCCUGUAGCGUCUAAACGCAUGUGCUCAUUUUGCGAUGUCCAAGUUCAAAAUAAUCAUAUCACAUAUUCCAGCAUGUGUUGCUUCUUUAUGGCAAAUGCGUUCUUCAUCCCUUCUCCCAGAAUUAUUGUCAUACACACUAUAUUAGCAACGUCUAUAGUCAUCCUACUGAACAAUUAUUGCAAAAAAAUAUUUUUUAGUCAAAGGCAAAAAAAAUCUUCCACACAGCCCAAUACAUCUUUUGUCUGGUCUAUUUGCCUUGCAGGACUUCCUGGAUUCCUAGUUUUGCGGGUUAUACUUCUGUGGUAGCAUUUUACGGGUUGGAGAGAUGGCUCGGUGGUUAUGAGUGUCGGCUGCUCUUUCAGGAUAACUGGGGUUCAACUCACAGUGCACCGUGCAGAGCAUCUUGCACUCACUUAACGACUUGGACUCCAGGGGGCUGCUACAGUAUUCUGACCUCCACAGCUUCUAAGCAUCUAAGUACCCUGUUUGUAUCACUCAUCUGAAAACGUGAUAGCCUUCUAACCCCUUUGCAAUGUACAAGAGCGCCGGGGCUUCCAACUGGACUCCGUCUAGAGAUCAUCAUCAUCAUCAUCAUCAUCAUCAUCAUCAUCACUACUCAAAAAGUCCAGUUGUAUGGGGCUUGAGCAACCUGACAGAGGACCAUACCCCUAAAGAAAAAUGACCAUCCCUUCCUCCGCACCCAUCAGCUGCCAAUAGCUGAUGGUAUCUCGUUUCUAACCUGGACUCAGAAUACAUAGUUCCAAGAAGUCAUUUGACCCUGUAAUUCUAACUGUGAAGGAAAAACAAGAGUUGUUGACAUAACUUCAAAGAUUUGGGAGGCGAUUGUGAUGUCCUAGACUUACUUGACAAAUUCCACCAGCUGGCAAGGAAGGAGAACCCACAGGGUUCACAAGGAAGUAGGGACAGCUCCUGGUCCUUGUGAUGGGGAAUAUUGGGGGCAGGAAGGGGGGGAGUAUUUUUCAGUGAGAGGAGCAAGGUGCACUUCGGCCGUUUGAGUCUGCCAUGACUCACAUGAGGAUGGGACACUGAACGAUUAGGCUUUUACAGAGCCCUCCAAGCCAGUCUGUUGCCUACCUCCCUUUUCCUCCCUCCCUCUCCUGAGGCAAUGAUGGCUUUCCCCAAGCUGAAUUUUACAUAAGGAACGGCUCUUUCACUCCUGCUGCUUCUUACCCAGAGAAUCCCUCCCAGCGGGGAAGAAAUCCAAGUUAUAUGCUGGGAGCUGUAUCUACCUACACCUGGACCACAGAACCCUGGUGCUUUCUUUCUGGGAAGCCCAUCUGCUUGUCUCAGAGUUCUCUUAGCCUAAGCAAAUGGAUGCCUUGUGAACCCUACCCAGGACUGCCCACUAAUUUCAGGAAAGAAAACAAAAACAAAACAAAACAACAACAACAACAACAACAACAACAACAAAACAAAAACCAGGCUCCAGAGGUGACCAAUCUUUCAAAAUAGCAAGUGUUUUGAAGCCAGAUCUAAACUGAGAAAGAAUAAGAAAAAGUAACCAGUGACACAACUGUCAACUCUAUAGCUGUUUUUGUUCAUGGGACCCCAUGUCCUUGUUAGCUGAAUGCUGCCCUCUCAGAGACAGAGACACAGAUCUGGAAGCUAUUUGAAGUUCAAAGGCACACACGGACUUCUGCCAACCAAAGCUGGAGGCAGCUAGAGGCUGGAGGAAGCACGUUAAUAAAUACAUCUGGAUAAAAAGCCUGAAAGCAUUUCUGCAGAGUUUCUGACUGAAAGUUCCCCACAAGAAAAUGGCUACAACAUUUUCUCUGAGUCCAACUCAGUUGGGUUGGGAACUGGACUGCUGUCACAGUUUCUGGAGUGUUCAGGAAAGGGUUUGUCCAGGGUCAGGAAAGAAGCAUCUGAAUGGUCCCUUAGCACAGAGCUUCUCAACCUGAGGAGUAUAAUCCCUCUGGGGGGAGUCAAACAAUCCUUUCAUGAGGGUCACCUAAGACCACUGUAAAACACAGACACUUACAUUAUGAUGUCUACCAGGAGCAAAAUUACAGUUAUAGAGUAGCAAUGAAAGUAAUUUAAUGGUUGGAGACCACCCAAGCCUGAGGAAAGUUGCAGCCUUAGGAAGGUUAUGAACCCCUGCCUUAGCACUUGGCUGAUUUUGAGGGUAGCAAAUGGGAUCGCUGUAUUCAAGUUACCCAGUCUCUGACUCCUUAACGCACUCAGCUGACUUCACGUCAUGCUCGGAUUGGGAGUUUCUGGUACAGUCGAUUCCGUUUCUCAUUUGACAGUUUCUCUCCCCUCCCAUACCUUUCCCUUCCCAAUACGCCUUUCCUGUUCUCUCUUCUUCCCUCCCCCAAUUUUUCUUUUGAUGUUUGCUGAUCAUCUCAGAGGUGAGUUUCAGCAAAGGUUGGAAUAAUACUUUACUCUAGAAUCCUUUUUUCCCCCUUUUGAUGAAGAUCCAGAGGGUUCUCCUGGUCAGGGGAAGGAAUCCAUUCCCCCAUGGCUCCUCCUGAGUUGUAGCCCUGAGUCAUAUCCCCAAGGACCUUGGCAAAUUCUCUUCCCUCUAAGACCCUGGGUUGAGAACCAGAGUAAAGGGUGGAGACAGUGUGCUAGUGGACACACCAAGACAGACAUUAAAAAGAGGGACCAUCCCCUCUGCUCCUACCCACACCUGAUGCCUCUUCCCUCUCCCCUUCCAAUCUCCUCUUCUACCCAGUUCUCUCCCUCCAUCUGUCCUCCAUGACCAGU